rnacentral:lncRNA from 1 species
UUUUCCAUAUCAGCCCCUAUAGAUUUCUUGCAUAUAUAACUGCCAGGUAGUACUCCCCAGAGACCGUGCUUUUCAAGAUGAUCCUGUGUGUACCAUUGUGUUAUUCCCUCCCCCAGGGCUCAGCAGCCUGGACGCAGACGCAGCAGUGUGGAUGAUUGCAUUGAUCCAGACUUGGAAGUUGUGCGGCAGUGACCUAGGACCACAAUAAGGAAAUCUCUUGAAAGAAUAUCCCUGCAUUCUUUGUAAAAUCUACAGGUGUGGUAUCCUCUUGUGAUAUCAAGAUUUGGGGAAAUGUUCUUCAAAUGUCCCCUCGUCCUUGCAUUGACUCUGAUUCUGCAGACUCUUAGAAGAAGUAGAGUUAUCAGCCUGCAAGAGAACGUUCCAGAGAGGAUUGAGCUCACCUUCUGGAGAAUCUAGAGAAGGAUGUUUUACCAUUUCCCUCGCUGUUCUAAAUUUUAGCAGCAACACAUAAGUUCUGCACAGUCUCAGAGUCCCUUGGGAUUACGGACUGCUGGAGGGCAGGAACUAUAUGACUUUCUUUUCUCCUUCAGCUCGCUCUCACAGACCUUUAAAAUCUCAUGUGCUAAAUGACUAAACAAGUGCCCAGACUGCUCUGUGCCAGGAUUCCUGGCGCCUCCAUGCUGGUCAGUGAGCCUGAAGAGGGCAGGGUCCAGCCUCAGGCCUCCAGCUCACUCUCCUCCCGGGAAGAAGACGCCUCUACUCCGAAGGCAGCCAGCAUGUAUCUCACUCGCAACAGUCGGCAGAUGGCCUCGGAUCCCUUCUGUUCUCAGGAAUCACAUUGGGACUAACCGCGCUGUGCAUUUUCCAUCGCUGGCAGCCAUCUCAACAGUGACGUCGGGCCUCGUUAUUAAUAGGGGAGGGACAGACCCAGAGAGAGGGGAAGUGGCUUGGGCUGAGUCACACAGCAAAGUUAGAACUGCCAGCUCCCAGCGACUAACCUCGCCCUGGGCUCUAGCCCACACACCUGGCGGCUCCGGAGACUUGCUCCUUUUUGGACUCUGGGCAACAAACUCCCUGGCUAACCAAGCGGGUCUGACUUGUCCUACAGAGCCAAUGAGGCAAAAGCUUCCUGAGAAUGUUAUAUUGUGAUCUUGCUGUUUCUACUGGUUGGCAAGAAACCGACUCCCCAUUCCUUUUCGAAUGACCUUGGACACAUCAUGGAAAGUCUCUGAACCCUCAGUUUUCCCUUCAGGAAAAUGCAGACAAGAAUUCUGGGUGCCUACCCCGCCCCCGCCCCGACAGACUGUGGACGAGCUAUAGGCUGAAGAUCGGGGUGCCCUUCUCCGAUCGGGUCUGCAUUUACAUGGGUGAACUUCAAACCUGGCUGAGCAUGGUAAUCACGUGAGUGGCCUUUAAAAAUACAAAUUCCUUAGCACUGAGAACCACAUCUAGUCGCUUAUGAUGGAGAACAAUGGACGAUAAGGUGAGAAAAAGAAUGUACAUAUGUAUGUGUGACUGGGUCACCUUGCUGUGCAGGAGAAGAUUGACAGAACACUGUAAACCAGCUAUAACGGAAAAAGAUCAUUAAAAAAANAUUGACAGAACACUGUAAACCAGCUAUAACGGAAAAAAAUCAUUAAAAAGACACUGACUUAAGAAGAUGUAGAUAAUGUGAAUUUUUAUCAAAUAAAGAAAUGGUAUGAAAAUUUUUUUCA